rnacentral:rRNA from 1 species
GACGAACGCUGGCGGCGUGCCUAAUACAUGCAAGUAGGACGCACAGUUUAUACCGUAGCUUGCUACACCAUAGACUGUGAGUUGCGAACGGGUGAGUAACGCGUAGGUAACCUGCCUGGUAGCGGGGGAUAACUAUUGGAAACGAUAGCUAAUACCGCAUAAUAUUGAUUAUUGCAUGAUAAUUGAUUGAAAGAUGCUAUUGCAUCACUACCAGAUGGACCUGCGUUGUAUUAGCUAGUAGGUGAGGUAACGGCUCACCUAGGCGACGAUACAUAGCCGACCUGAGAGGGUGAUCGGCCACACUGGGACUGGGACACGGCCCAGACUCCUACGGGAGGCAGCAGUAGGGAAUCUUCGGCAAUGGACGAAAGUCUGACCGAGCAACGCCGCGUGAGUGAAGAAGGUUUUCGGAUCGUAAAGCUCUGUUGUAAGAGAAGAACGGGUGUGAGAGUGGAAAGUUCACACUGUGACGGUAUCUUACCAGAAAGGGACGGCUAACUACGUG